GACAGAGGGGGCAAGCGUUGCUCGGAAUCACUGGGCGUAAAGGGCGCGUAGGCGGGAUGGCAAGUCGGUCGUGAAAUCCUUCGGCUCAACCGAAGAACGUCGGCCGAUACUGCCGUUCUUGAGGGAUGCAGAGGAGAUUGGAAUUCCCGGUGUAGCGGUGAAAUGUGUAGAGAUCGGGAGGAACACCGGUGGCGAAGGCGGGUCUCUGGUCCGGACCUGACGCUGAGGCGCGAAAGCGUGGGGAGCAAACAGG
rnacentral:rRNA from 1 species